rnacentral:misc_RNA from 1 species
UCCGAGCGUCAUUACACCCCUCAAGCAUUGCUUGGUGUUGGGCUCCGCUGCUCACGCGGCGGGCCUUAAAAUCAGUGGCGGUGCGUCGGGCCCUGAGCGCAGUAAAUAUCCUCGCUACAGGGACCCGGUGGACGCUGGCCAUCAACCCCCAACUUUCUAAGUUUGACCUCGGAUCAGGUAGGGAUACCCGCUGGACUUAA